GAUGAACGCUGGCGGCGUGCCUAAUACAUGCAAGUCGAGCGAACGGACGAGAAGCUUGCUUUUCUGAUGUUAGCGGCGGACGGGUGAGUAACACGUGGAUAACCUACCUAUAAGACUGGGAUAACUUCGGGAAACCGGAGCUAAUACCGGAUAAUAUUUUGAACCGCAUGGUUCAUAAGUGAAAGACGGUCUUGCUGUCACUUAUAGAUGGAUCCGCGCUGCAUUGGCUAGUUGGUAAGGUAACGGCUUACCAAGGCAACGAUGCAUAGCCGACCUGAGAGGGUGAUCGGCCACACUGGAACUGAGACACGGUCCAGACUCCUACGGGAGGCAGCAGUAGGGAAUCUUCCGCAAUGGGCGAAAGCCUGACGGAGCAACGCCGCGUGAGUGAUGAAGGUCUUCGGAUCGUAAAACUCUGUUAUUAGGGAAGAACAUAUGUGUAAGUAACUGUGCACAUCUUGACGGUACCUAAUCAGAAAGCCACGGCUAACUACGUG
rnacentral:rRNA from 1 species